AGCAGCCGCGGUAAUUCCAGCUCCAAUAGCGUAUAUUAAAGUUGUUGCAGUUAAAAAGCUCGUAGUUGAAUUUCGGGGUUAGUAGGUCGGUCAUGCCUCAGGUAUGCACUGGUCUCACUGAUUCCUCCUUCCUGAUGAGCCGUAAUGCCAUUAAUUUGGUGUUGCGGGGAAUCUGGACUGUUACUUUGAAAAAAUUAGAGUGUUUAAAGCAGGCUCACGCUUGAAUACAUUAGCAUGGAAUAACGAAAUAGGACGUUUGAUUCUAUUUUGUUGGUUUCUAGGAUCGACGUAAUGAUUAAUAGGGAUAGUUGGGGGCAUUAGUAUUCAAUUGUCAGAGGUGAAAUUCUUGGAUUUAUUGAAGACUAACUACUGCGAAGGCAUUUGCCAAGGAUGUUUUCAUUAAUCAAGAACGAAAGUUAGGGGAUCGAAGACGAUCAGAUACCGUCGUAGUCCUUAACCAUAAACCUAUAGCCGACUAGGGAUCGGAUGAUGUUAAUUUUUAAUGUACUUCUUUCGGCGU
rnacentral:rRNA from 1 species